rnacentral:rRNA from 1 species
GACGAACGCUGGCGGCGUGCUUAACACAUGCAAGUCGAACGGUGAUGGAGAGCUUGCUUUCCGGAUCAGUGGCGAACGGGUGAGUAACACGUGAGCAACCUACCCUUGACUCUGGGAUAACAGUUGGAAACAGCUGCUAAUACCGGAUAUGACCCUGGCAGGCAUCUGCUGGGGUGGAAAGCUCCGACGGUCAGGGAUGGGCUCGCGGCCUAUCAGCUUGUUGGUGAGGUAAUGGCUCACCAAGGCGACGACGGGUAGCCGGCCUGAGAGGGCGACCGGCCACACUGGGACUGAGAUACGGCCCAGACUCCUACGGGUGGCAG